rnacentral:rRNA from 1 species
GGCGGCGUGCAUAAUACAUUCAAGUCGAGCGGAUUGAUGGGAGCUUGCUCCCUGAUAUCAGCGGCGGACGGGUGAGUAACACGUGGGUAACCUGCCUGUAAGACUGGGAUAACUCCGGGAAACCGGGGCUAAUACCGGAUAACUCAUUUCCUCGCAUGAGGAAAUGUUGAAAGGUGGCUUCGGCUACCACUUACAGAUGGAUCCCCCGGCGCAUUAGCUAGUUGGUGAGGUAACGGCUCACCAAGGCAACGAUGCGUAGCCGACCUGAGAGGGUGAUCGGCCACACUGGGAUUGAGACACGGCCCAGACUCCUACGGGAGGCAGCAGUAGGGAAUCUUCCGCAAUGGACGAAAGUCUGCCGGAGCAACGCCGCGUGAGUGAUGAAGGUUUUCGGAUCCGUAAAGCCUACUGUUGUUAGGGAAGAAUCAAGUGCCGUUCGAAUAGGGCGGCACCCUUGACGGUACCUAACCAGAAA